rnacentral:rRNA from 1 species
AUGAACGCUAGCUACAGGCUUAACACAUGCAAGUCGAGGGGCAGCAUGGUCUUAGCUUGCUAAGGCCGAUGGCGACCGGCGCACGGGUGAGUAACACGUAUCCAACCUGCCGUCUACUCUCGGACAGCCUUCUGAAAGGAAGAUUAAUACAAGAUGGCAUCAUGAGUCCGCAUGUUCACAUGAUUAAAGGUAUUCCGGUAGACGAUGGGGAUGCGUUCCAUUAGAUAGUAGGCGGGGUAACGGCCCACCUAGUCUUCGAUGGAUAGGGGUUCUGAGAGGAAGGUCCCCCACAUUGGAACUGAGACACGGUCCAAACUCCUACGGGAGGCAGCAGUGAGGAAUAUUGGUCAAUGGGCGAGAGCCUGAACCAGCCAAGUAGCGUGAAGGAUGACUGCCCUAUGGGUUGUAAACUUCUUUUAUAAAGGAAUAAAGUCGGGUAUGGAUACCCGUUUGCAUGUACUUUAUGAAUAAGGAUCGGCUAACUCCGUGCCAGCAGCCGCGGUAAUACGGAGGAUCCGAGCGUUAUCCGGAUUUAUUGGGUUUAAAGGGAGCGUAGAUGGAUGUUUAAGUCAGUUGUGAAAGUUUGCGGCUCAACCGUAAAAUUGCAGUUGAUACUGGAUAUCUUGAGUGCAGUUGAGGCAGGCGGAAUUCGUGGUGUAGCGGUGAAAUGCUUAGAUAUCACGAAGAACUCCGAUUGCGAAGGCAGCCUGCUAAGCUGCAACUGACAUUGAGGCUCGAAAGUGUGGGUAUCAAACAGGAUUAGAUACCCUGGUAGUCCACACGGUAAACGAUGAAUACUCGCUGUUUGCGAUAUACUGCAAGCGGCCAAGCGAAAGCGUUAAGUAUUCCACCUGGGGAGUACGCCGGCAACGGUGAAACUCAAAGGAAUUGACGGGGGCCCGCACAAGCGGAGGAACAUGUGGUUUAAUUCGAUGAUACGCGAGGAACCUUACCCGGGCUUAAAUUGCAGAUGAAUUACGGUGAAAGCCGUAAGCCGCAAGGCAUCUGUGAAGGUGCUGCAUGGUUGUCGUCAGCUCGUGCCGUGAGGUGUCGGCUUAAGUGCCAUAACGAGCGCAACCCUUGUUGUCAGUUACUAACAGGUUCCGCUGAGGACUCUGACAAGACUGCCAUCGUAAGAUGUGAGGAAGGUGGGGAUGACGUCAAAUCAGCACGGCCCUUACGUCCGGGGCUACACACGUGUUACAAUGGGGGGUACAGAGGGCCGCUACCACGCGAGUGGAUGCCAAUCCCCAAAACCUCUCUCAGUUCGGACUGGAGUCUGCAACCCGACUCCACGAAGCUGGAUUCGCUAGUAAUCGCGCAUCAGCCACGGCGCGGUGAAUACGUUCCCGGGCCUUGUACACACCGCCCGUCAAGCCAUGGGAGCCGGGGGUACCUGAAGUGCGUAACCGCGAGGAGCGCCCUAGGGUAAAACUGGUGAC